ACAAACUUGGUCAUUUAGAGGAAGUAAAAGUCGUAACAAGGUUUCCGUAGGUGAACCUGCGGAAGGAUCAUUAUUGAAUAACUUGAUGGGUUGUAGCUGGCCUCUUGAGGCAUGUGCACACCUGUCUUGACUCUAUUCAUCCACCUGUGCACUUCUUGUAGUUCCCUUUACCCUCUGGAUUUGAGGAUUGCUGUCCAGCUUUCUUCUCUCUGGCCUUGCUGCCUUAUCAGAGAGACAAAAGGAACUAUGUUUCUUAUCAUAAACCAUAUAGUAUGUUGUCAGAAUGUAUUCAAUGGGCCUUUGUGCCUAUAAAAAUCUAUACAACUUUCAGCAACGGAUCUCUUGGCUCUCGCAUCGAUGAAGAACGCAGC
rnacentral:misc_RNA from 1 species